GACGAACGUUGGCGGCGUGCUUAAUACAUGCAAGUCCACUGAAGCAGUGGUAGCAAUAUCGCUGUGGAGGUGGCGCACGGGUGAGUAACACGUAGGUAAUCUGCCUUCAGGUCUGGCAUAACUCCGGGAAACCGGGGCUAAUAGCAGAUGAUGCAGCGGCUCGACAUCGAGACAGUUGUUAAAGCUAUGGCGCCUGAAGAUGAGCCUGCGUCUGAUUAGCUAGUUGGCGGGGUAACGGCCCACCAAGGCAACGAUCAGUAGCUGGUCUGAGAGGAUGAUCAGCCACACUGGAACUGAGACACGGUCCAGACUCCUACGGGAGGCAGCAGUAAGGAAUAUUGCUCAAUGGGAGAAAUCCUGAAGCAGCAACGCCGCGUGAGGGACGAAGGGCUUUUGCUUGUAAACCUCUGUAGGGAGAGAAAAAAAUCCCAAUCUUUGGGACAUGAUGGUAUCUCAAAAGUAAGCCCCGGCUAACUACGUG
rnacentral:rRNA from 1 species